GUCCUUGGUUGCAUUGUCGUUGCAAGAACUACUUCAUGAACCUAGAGAUAUCAUUCUCCAGCACAUAAGAAUCCGUCUCCCCGAACUAGCGAGGUCACCUCAGGAUGAGAUCCAUCAAUGAAAACUUUUAUUGUUUGCUCUUUCUUGUGAUUUUCGGGGCCCAAGGAAAUGGCUUACAACAGUUUAUGGCUGACAAGGAAACAAUCGUGAAGAUAUUGUCUUCAG